UACGGAGGGUGCAAGCGUUGUCCGGAUUUAUUGGGUUUAAAGGGUGCGUAGGCGGUCGUUUAAGUCUGGGGUGAAAGCCCGUUGCUCAACAACGGAACUGCCCUGGAAACUGGAUGACUUGAGUACAGACGAGGGCGGCGGAAUGGAUGGUGUAGCGGUGAAAUGCAUAGAUACCAUCCAGAACCCCGAUUGCGAAGGCAGCUGCCUAGGCUGUUACUGACGCUGAGGCACGAAAGCGUGGGGAGCGAACAGG
rnacentral:rRNA from 1 species